ensembl:lncRNA
CAACAAGCACAGCACGGUGACGCACUGCAUAACUGAUAAGUUGUGUUUCGAAUGUUUCUCACCCGGACAUGCAAAACGUGAUUGUCCAAAAUUUUCCACUGUACAGGACGAUAUGGAGGGAAACUAGUGGACCCGUAUUUGGAGGGAGGCAGUACGGGUCAUUCUUGCAACUCCCAAGCUGUUACUGAGUGUGAAGAUGAACGUUAUUUGAUUGAGAACGUUGUUGAUGGACUAAAUAUUGUGUAUCAGAACACGCAUGUUGUGCGGGGACAUGAUAGCCUUUUUUAUACGCCUGUUAAAAUCGGAGAAAAACUAACUUUAGGAGCCAUGAUGGAUAGUGGAUCAAUGGCAUGCACCAUAAAUGACACAGCUGAGAUGAAGCUGAGAGAAGCGGGAGCAGUUGAUGGAAACAGUGAGCUGAGCACCGAUGUGGUCCUUGUGGGCUGUGGUGGAUUGCGUGUCAAGCCUAAAUCUGUUUACAAUCUGACCAUGGAAGUUUUUGGUUUGAAGAUGCUUGUACCUACUCUAGUGGUUCCGGGUCAACAUGACGAACUCAUAAUUGGAACUAAUGUCAUCAAACAUAUUCUGCGACAUAUCAAGCAGUGUGAGGGUUUCUGGAGAGCUGUGUCUGGCCCUACAUCAAAGGAUCCGGAAUGUGAGAGCUUUUUGUCCAUGCUCGCUGGACUAAAUCGCUGGAGAGGUAAAGACAUGCCUGACAAACUUGGAAUGGUAAGAUGCAAUUCGGCUGUUUGUCUUGAACCUGGUUGUGAAUAUUUGGUGUGGGGGAGACUAUCGAAAUCAGCUGUUGCAUCACCAGGCAGUGCUGUCAUGACAGAGCCCACCACUUCUCAUUCGAUUCCCAGAGGUGUCAUGGUGGCUCGACUUGUCACAUCGUUGUGGAGUGACGGAUGGGUCCCUUUGAAGGUGAUCAACACGUCAGGGAGAGUUGUUCUGUUGAGACGUAAUGCAAAACUGGCUGAUCUGUAUCCUUGCAUUGCCCUUGAGGACGUUGAUAGCAUGGAUACAAUUGAACCUCCUCUCGUAAGUUGUCCUAUGGGUUUGUCUGAAUGCAGGGCCCAGUCUAUAUCUGCAAGUGAGAGGUUGAAAUCCAUGGGACUGUCUGACCUUGAUGUAGAGUCAUGUGAUGUCUCUGACCAGUGCAGGCAACAAUUAGUCAGUUUGAUCUUGACUU